UGGGGAAUAUUGGGCAAUGGAGGCAACUCUGACCCAGCCAUGCCGCGUGGGUGACGAAGGUCUUCGGAUUGUAAAGCCCUUUCGGCGGGGACGAUGAUGACGGUACCCGCAGAAGAAGCCCCGGCUAACUUCGUGCCAGCAGCCGCGGUAAUACGAAGGGGGCUAGCGUUGUUCGGAAUUACUGGGCGUAAAGGGCGUGUAGGCGGCCCGCAAAGUCAGGUGUGAAAUUCCUGGGCUCAACCCAGGACGUGCGCCUGAUACUGGCGGGCUUGAGUCCGGGAGAGGAUGGUGGAACUCCCAGUGUAGAGGUGAAAUUCGUAGAUAUUGGGAAGAACACCCGUGGCGAAGGCGGCCAUCUGGACCGGUACUGACGCUAAGGCGCGACAGCGUGGGGAGCAAACAGGAUUAGAUACCCACGUAGUCCCUGAGCGGGCUGGCAAGGCGCAU
rnacentral:rRNA from 1 species